rnacentral:rRNA from 1 species
UACGGGGGGGGCAAGCGUUGUUCGGAAUUACUGGGCGUAAAGGGCGCGUAGGCGGUUUGCUAAGUUGAAUGUGAAAACUCUGGGCUUAACCCAGAGCCUGCAUUCAAUACUGGCAGGCUAGAGUUCUGGAGGGGAUAGCGGAAUUCCUGGUGUAGCGGUGAAAUGCGCAGAUAUCAGGAGGAACACCGGUGGCGAAGGCGGUUCUCUGGGCAUUACCUGACGCUGAGGAGCGAAAGUGUGGGGAGCGAACAGG